rnacentral:lncRNA from 1 species
AGGUUACUGUUGAGUACUACAAUGACAAUGGUGCCAUGGUCCCAGUCCGCGUACACACUGUCCUCAUCUCCACCCAACAUGAUGAGACUGUAACAAACGAUGAAAUUGCUGCUGACCUCAAGGAGCACGUCAUCAAGCCGGUCAUCCCUGAGAAGUACCUUGAUGAGAAGACCAUCUUCCACCUCAACCCAUCAGGGCGUUUUGUCAUUGGUGGUCCUCACGGUGAUGCAGGACUCACUGGACGCAAGAUCAUUAUUGAUACCUAUGGUGGAUGGGGAGCCCAUGGUGGCGGUGCUUUCUCAGGAAAGGACCCAACCAAGGUGGACAGGAGUGGUGCUUAUAUUGUCAGGCAGGCUGCCAAGAGCAUUGUAGCAAAUGGUCUUGCCCGCAGGUGCAUUGUGCAGGUCUCCUACGCCAUUGGUGUGCCUGAGCCUUUGUCUGUCUUUGUGGACAGUUAUGGAACUGGAAAGAUUCCUGACAAGGAGAUCCUCAAGAUUGUGAAGGAGAACUUCGACUUCAGACCCGGAAUGAUGACCAUCAACCUAGAUCUCAAGAGGGGUGGCAACAGGUUCUUGAAGACAGCUGCAUAUGGUCACUUUGGAAGGGACGACCCAGAUUUCACCUGGGAGGUUGUCAAGCCCCUCAAGUGGGAGAAGCCU